AAUGGGUUUUAGACCUCUAAGACCAUCAUUAUCGGGAAUCCUUAAUGGAGUCCUUAGAUAAAAUUGAUGAUUUAAUUAAAUCAAAAUAAAAGAAAAGGGUUGUUAUCGAUCCUUAAUGGGGUAUUUUGGUGACCGGUUUUAAGUGUGGUUUUUCAACCACGUGUCAACACCAUAUUUUUUCUUUCUCUCUGCUUUGGUCAUCGUCUUCUUGUUUUCUCCGUUGGAGCUCUCCUCCACGAUCCUCCGUCUUCAGGUCGUCUCCGUGGCUGAGCUCAAGUGGUGGUAUCUUGUCCCGAAGCUCCAGAGUCGUCGCUUCUCCGUUACCAGCUCGCCGUCGCGUCUCACAUCCGCCUUGGGUCUUCUUCAUCCUUGUCGACUCAGGCUUGGCUCGUGGUGGUGAUUGAGUUCGUCUUCAGGCCAGCAGCACCGGACUCGCCCUCUGCAACUCCGGCCACUACCCAAUGCUUGCUUACUUUGCUAUCGCUGAGAACGAGUCCAUUGGUCGCGAACGCUACAACUUCAUGCAGGCUUUGGCAAUCAAAGCAGCAGGGAAGGCGUGGUAGCAGACUAUGAUCUCCGACAGACUACACCGAGUUUGAGAGUUGAGGUAAUCGAUCAAAACUUUACUCUUCUUCAACUCUUUCUUUUUUCUUUACUGCUCUUGUUAAUAAAUGCUUGUUUGAGUUAGGUUGUGGUUAGGGAAAACGUGUCUGAGUUAGGUUGUGGUUAGGAUUGUUUGCUUGGUAAUAAAUAUGUUAGAUUCAUGUCAAAAUGUUAGGAUUGCUUGCUUGUUUGAGUUAGGUUGUGGUUAGGAUUUUUAUUUUAAGAAUCCUUAAUUAAGAAACUCCCAUUGGAGGCACAAAAUCGAAUAAUUUCUUAAGUAAAGUUCUUAAGUCCACUAAAGUACAUUUAUAUACUUAAAUAAUCCUUAAGAAACACAAAUGGGUUUCUGUGGAUAAUCAUGCUCUAAUCUUAUAUACCGUGAGUUCCCAGAUUAGACCUAAAAUCUUUCUUAGAUUUGGAGUAAACAUGUUAAAUUUGGAUUUAUCAUAAACUUAAACCAGUUGUUGAUAAGUAAAUAGGAAAAAAAUAUAAGUGAACAAAAUAGCAAGAAUAAAAAAAAUGGUUGUUCAUUCUCAAAUUUAGCAAAAAAUAAUUUUGUUCUUUAUUUCUCUACAAAAAAAUGAAAGGAAAUGAAAAGGAAAAAAUAUUCUUUGUGAAUGAUAAUUUUUUUAGGAACUUUAAAAAAUGCAUUAUUUUCCAUCAUUUCUUAGUCACUAUUCAUACCCUGAUUAAAUAUAAUCUUUUAUACUAAAAAUAGUUUGAACCUAGGGCACAAUAAACCAACCCUUUGUACUUACCAAUGUGCUACUAA